CAAAAACCGGAUGUACUGGCACUUGACGACUUAACGUCUAUUUGUUUGCAUAUGCACCAAUAGAGUAAUUAUUAUAUGCAUUUGGUGCUAUUUCUAACCAGUGAAAAAGACGGAUGGAGAUGUUCAAUUGUGAAAUGUUGAACUUGAAGGGGACUAACGUGGGGUGGGAAAAAAGACACUGGCUCCUCUCUGCAAAGCGAGCCAAAAAGCAUCAAGGGAUGAGUAAACCAUGAAGCGGCUACUCGAAGUCUCGUGAACUCUGCAUUCCCGCAACAGGACCGACAGCUGAAGGACAAAUGAGAUGGGACAGUUGUGGUCUGGUUGUCUUUGAGCCUCGGAAAGUCAGUGACAAACAGCAUCUUUUUCAAUGCAAGCAUGCACUUUAACUUGGUAGAUACGUGUGACUGCAAUCUGAGCUUUUAAAUUCACUUCAUUCGUGUACUCGCGUAGUGUGCUACCUCGGCUAUGACCAAACAAAUCUCUGUUUAUUAGUGCUUUGCAAUAAACCAACACAUUCAAGAAAAUUGGUUUCAACUCGAACAUUUCAUAUCAAUAUUAUAGCCAAGUGUUUUAAAUAUUAAUGUGCGAGCAACCCAUCAGCGCUUGGGUGGGCGAGUUAAUAAGAUGGAACCCAUAUCAGCUUCAUCCUGCAAUUUUAAUACAUUAACAUAUUUCAUCGCAGCAGCAAAGCAUGCAACAUUUGCUUGAUUUCUGAAGCAGAACCGUUGGAGAAAAGAAAAUGUUCCGUUAGGAAGGGGGCGGGAUAUUUAGAGAUGGAGCUUUACAAGAAUUGUCAAUCACUAAACAGGCGCAUUUCAUGGCGCUGUUCACAGUGAGGGAUGAGAAUAUUCUAUCUAUAACAUACACUUAGGAUCAACUUAGUGUGAGAGAAAUCUGUU